CAACAGGUAUCAAUGGAUUCUGGAAGAAUCUAUGGCACAGCUCUCUGGGAAAAGGGGGAGAUGGCAGAGUUGGAAGAACCUAGGCUCACCUCAUUUCAUGGAUACAACUAGAGAACACUCAGGAAAUGACCUGAAGACUGGCUGAAUAAACUCCAAAACUAAAUGUAGGGAAGAGGCCACAAUGAAAACGCCUGAAUGAAUUUCUAUAGUAUUUGUUUGUAAAGGGCACCUGGGUGGC